rnacentral:rRNA from 1 species
UACGAAGGGGGCUAGCGUUGCUCGGAAUCACUGGGCGUAAAGGGUGCGUAGGCGGGUCUUUAAGUCCGGGGUGAAAUCCUGGAGCUCAACUCCAGAACUGCCUUUGAUACUGAAGAUCUUGAGUUCGGGAGAGGUGAGUGGAACUGCGAGUGUAGAGGUGAAAUUCGUAGAUAUUCGCAAGAACACCAGUGGCGAAGGCGGCUCACUGGCCCGAUACUGACGCUGAGGUGCGAAAGCGUGGGGAGCAAACAGG